GGACCUACCAUACACCACGCCUGAGAAGCAGUUUCUGCCAAAUACACACUCCCUGACAAUCACUGGACCAGGCACACUCUCAGUUCCUGCCCAUAACCCUCUCUCAGAACUAAGAGUGUGUCUGGGUCAGUGAUUGUCUGUCUGUCUGUGUCUCUCUCUGUGUCUGACUGUGUGUCUCACUCUCAGUCAGUCUCUCUCACUGUCACACACUCUCUCACAGUCAGUCUCUCUCACAGUCAGUCUCUCUCUCUCUCUCUCUCUCAGUCAGUCUCAGUCUCUCACAGUCACACUCUCUCAC